GACGAACGCUGGCGGCGUGCUUAACACAUGCAAGUCGAACGGUGAAGGGAUCAGCUUGCUGGUUCUGGAUGAGUGGCGAACGGGUGAGUAACACGUGAGUAACCUGCCCCCUUCUUCUGGAUAACCGCAUGAAAGUGUGGCUAAUACGGGAUAUUCUGCGCCUGCUGCAUGGUGGGUGUGGGAAAGAUAUUGUUUCGGUGGGGGAUGGGCUCGCGGCCUAUCAGCUUGUUAGUGGGGUGAUGGCCUACCAAGGCGGUGACGGGUAGCCGGCCUGAGAGGGUGGACGGUCACACUGGGACUGAGACACGGCCCAGACUCCUACGGGAGGCAGCAGUGGGGAAUAUUGCACAAUGGGCGCAAGCCUGAUGCAGCGACGCCGCGUGAGGGAUGGAGGCCUUCGGGUUGUGAACCUCUUUCGCCAGUGAAGCAGGCCUGUCCCUUGUGGGUGGGUUGACGGUAGCUGGAUAAGAAGCGCCGGCUAACUACGUG
rnacentral:rRNA from 1 species